GACGAACGCUGGCGGCGUGCUUAACACAUGCAAGUCGAACGGAAAGGCCCUGCUUUUGUGGGGUUCUCGAGUGGCGAACGGGUGAGUAACACGUGAGUAACCUGCCCUUGUCUUUGGGAUAACUUCAGGAAACUGGGGCUAAUACCGGAUAGGAGCUCCUGCUGCAUGGUGGGGGUUGGAACGUUUUGGCGGUUGGGGAUGGACUCGCGGCUUAUCAGCUUGUUGGUGGGGUAGUGGCUUACCAAGGCUUGGACGGGUAGCCGGCCUGAGAGGGUGACCGGGCACAGUGGGACUGGGGUACGGCCCAGAGGGAUAAGGGAGGCAGGAGUGGAGAAUAUAGCAAGAUGGGCGGAAGGGGGAUGCAGCAACGCCGGGUGCGGGAUGACGGCCUUCGGGUAGGAAAACGAGUUGGUCUGUGACGAAGCGUGAGGGAGGGUAAUGAGGAAAGAAGCACGGGCAAAUUAGGU
rnacentral:rRNA from 1 species